CCUACGGGAGGCAGCAGUGGGGAAUAUUGCACAAUGGGCGAAAGCCUGAUGCAGCAACGCCGCGUGAGCGGUGAAGGCCUUCGGGUCGUAAAGCUCUGUCCUCAAGGAAGAUAAUGACGGUACUUGAGGAGGAAGCCCCGGCUAACUACGUGCCAGCAGCCGCGGUAAUACGUAGGGGGCUAGCGUUAUCCGGAAUUACUGGGCGUAAGGGGUGCGUAGGUGGUUUCUUAAGUCAGAGGUGAAAGGCUACGGCUCAACCGUAGUAAGCCUUUGAAACUGGGGAACUUGAGUGCAGGAGAGGAGAGUGGAAUUCCUAGUGUAGCGGUGAAAUGCGUAGAUAUUAGGAGGAACACCAGUGGCGAAGGCGGCCUGCUGGACGAUGACUGACGUUGAGGCUCGAAAGCGUGGGGAGCAAACAGGAUUAGAUACCCGAGUAGUC
rnacentral:rRNA from 1 species